GAGAAAGCUUGCUUUUUCUACAAUCUAGUGGCAAACGGGUGAGUAACGCGUAAACAACCUGCCCUACGGAUGGGGACAACAGCUGGAAACGGCUGCUAAUACCGAAUACGUUCCGAAAGUCGCAUGACUAUCGGAAGAAAGGAUGGCCUCUAUUUAUAAGCUAUCGCCGGAGGAGGGGUUUGCGUCUGAUUAGCUAGUUGGAGGGGUAACGGCCCACCAAGGCGACGAUCAGUAGCCGGUCUGAGAGGAUGAACGGCCACAUUGGAACUGAGACACGGUCCAGACUCCUACGGGAGGCAGCGGUGGGGAAUCUUCCGCAAUGGGCGAAAGCCUGACGGAGCAACGCCGCGUGAGUGAAGACGGCCUUCGGGUUGUAAAGCUCUGUUAUACGGGACGAAUAGUCUUGUGGUUAAUACCCAUGAGAAGUGACGUACC
rnacentral:rRNA from 1 species